AACGAACGCUGGCGGCAUGCCUAACACAUGCAAGUCGAACGAGACCUUCGGGUCUAGUUGCGCACGGGUGCGUAACGCGUGGGAACCUGCCCUUAGGUUCGGAAUAACUCCCCGAAAGGGGUGCUAAUACCGGAUAAUGUCUUCGGAUCAAAGAUUUAUCGCCUUUGGAUGGGCCCGCGUUGGUUUAGCUAGUUGGUAGUGUAAAAGCCUACCAAGGCUACGAUCCAUAGCUGGUCUGAGAGGAUGGUCCGCCACACUGGGGCUGAGACACGGCGCAGACUCUUACGCAAGGCAGCAGUGGGUAAUCUUGCACUACGGGCUAAAGCAUGAUCCAGCAAUGCCGCGUGAGUGAUUAAGGCGUUAGGGUUGUACAGCUCUUUUACCCGGGAUGAUAAUGACAGUACCGGGAGAAUAAGCUCCGGCUAACUUCGUG
rnacentral:rRNA from 1 species